UCCGGGGUCGUCUAUGUGGCGAAGACGGCGGUCUCUGAAGCCGCAGAGGCAGGUUCGACUCCUGCCCCCGGAGCCG
rnacentral:tRNA from 1 species